AUAUUGGACAAUGGGCGAAAGCCUGAUCCAGCCAUGCCGCGUGAGUGAUGAAGGCCUUAGGGUUGUAAAGCUCUUUCGUCAGGGAAGAUAAUGACGGUACCUGAAGAAGAAGCCCCGGCUAACUUCGUGCCAGCAGCCGCGGUAAUACGAAGGGGGCUAGCGUUGCUCGGAAUCACUGGGCGUAAAGCGCACGUAGGCGGCUUUCUAAGUCAGGGGUGAAAUCCUGGAGCUCAACUCCAGAACUGCCUUUGAUACUGGAAAGCUUGAGUUCGAGAGAGGUGAGUGGAACUGCGAGUGUAGAGGUGAAAUUCGUAGAUAUUCGCAAGAACACCAGUGGCGAAGGCGGCUCACUGGCUCGAUACUGACGCUGAGGUGCGAAAGCGUGGGGAGCAAACAGG
rnacentral:rRNA from 1 species